rnacentral:misc_RNA from 1 species
GAAAUGCGAUAAGUAAUGUGAAUUGCAGAAUUCAGUGAAUCAUCGAAUCUUUGAACGCACAUUGCGCCCGCCAGUAUUCUGGCGGGCAUGCCUGUCCGAGCGUCAUUUCAACCAUCAAGCCCCCGGGCUUGUGUUGGGGACCUGCGGCUGCCCGCAGGCCCUGAAAACCAGUGGCGGGCUCGCUGUCACACCGAGCGUAGUAGCAAUCACCUCGCUCAGGGCGUGCUGCGGGUUCCGGCCGUUAAACAGCCUUACAAAACCCAAGGUUAACCUCGGAUCAGGUAGGAAGACCCGCUGAACUUAAGC